rnacentral:rRNA from 1 species
UACGUAGGCAGCGAGCGUUGUUCGGAAUUACUGGGCGUAAAGAGUGUGUAGGCGGUGCUCCCAGUCUGUUGUGAAAUCUCCCGGCUUAACUGGGAGGGUGCAGCGGAAACUAGAGUGCUAGAGGGUGGGAGAGGUAAGCGGAAUUCCUGGUGUAGCGGUGAAAUGCGUAGAUAUCGGGAGGAACACCUGUGGUGUAGACGGCUAUCUGGACGGCGACUGACGCUGAGACACGAAAGCGUGGGUAGCAAACAGG